AACAUAUUUGGUCGGUCGCUUUACCUUGAUUCACUUGGUUUGUGUAGCAGUACGCUCGUUCGGCGGCGGCGGUAGUAGGGUACUGUGGGCUUGGUUCUGUCGCUGUGGACGGGCCGGAGAUGGCGGAGUACAGCCAGACGGGUAUAUUAACGGCCCUGCUGCUGUUUACUGUGGUAACACUGAGGGAUAUUUAUGUGGGCCGCAACAGCAUGACUCAACAAGACAGCGCCGGACCCGACAUGCUCACACAGAGACCGAACAAACACACAUUCUACACGGGUCCGGUUCUCAAGUUCCAGUUCUGUAUUUCCUGAGGGUACAAUAAGGUGUUCCAGGAGUACUCCCGGUCCAUCAGCCAGCUGUACCCAGACAUCCGAAUCGAGGGAGAGAAUUACCCUCCCAAACCCAUCAACAAAUAUCUAGGCAACUUCAUCUCCUAUUUCAAACUCCUUGCCAUUGCUUUGAUUGUGACUGGACAAAAUCCUUUCCAAAUGUUUGGAAUGAACACUCCAAGAAUAUGGUUCUGGGGACAGGAGAAUAAGAUUUUCUCCUGCCUUAUGGCAUUCUUCCUUAGUAACAUGUUGGAGACCCAUUUCCUCUCGACAGGAGCUUUUGAGAUUACAUUGAAUGAUGUACCAAUUUGGUCCAAGUUGCAAUCAGGAUAUGUGCCCAACAUUCAGGAGCUUUUCCAGAUCUUGGAUAACCACCUUAAGAUGAAUCAGGUUGACAAGAUGAACUUUCCCUCACCGUAGUGCUGUUGUUUUUGCCAAGAGACAUCAUUCAGACAGAAAAAUCACAUUCACAGCGAUUUAGUUUACCAUGUCUAUGGAGAUUCAGCAGUUGCAGCUAUGGAAGCUUGUUUUCGCCAUGAAAUAAAGGUCUCCGGAGCUGUUUCUCUAGUCAGCGGGACUGUAGACUGUGGCAUAAUGAAGGCCUGCGCUGCAAACAGCACACUGUGAGCGCAGACUGGAUGCUCGGCCACCACACACACUCCUUCUGCCCGGCGACACACACCUUUGGAUCGACUACAUCUCUUCAGAGCAUCAAGCUUCAUGCAUUUGUAGUAGGAGAGUCACAUGAGAGCUAAAGGCACUACAUUUAUUACUGAAUGCUGAAGUUAGGGUUUUUUUUUUUUUUUGUUUUGUUUUUUUGGCCAGGGUAGUUCUGUUUGUAAUUGAAAUCGAAUGGAAUGUUCCAUCUUUCUCAAGGGCAACUGUGAUGUUUUCUUAAUGUAAAUGUCUUUAAAUGACCUUUAACAUGAUCAUGUGUUUGCACUGGUUUAGACUGUACUGUACUCGGGGUAGGCCUAUCUGACUUUUUUUUAAUUAGUGAGAAUGUUUGUGUACUGCAGAAUCAUGCAGUUUUGUUAGAGUGAGCUUAAAUGAGUUUAACUGAGUUUAAAUGCUUGAAGUGGUACAUUUUUGUUGUGUUUGUCACAGGUUCGCUGGUUAGAUUCAUAAGCACUGCUUGUGUUUAUUGAGGGAAUUAUUAAGGCCAGAUCUUCUUCUGCUUAGACUUGCCAGAGCACUGCCAGAGUAAUCUGUGGAAUUGUUUUAAUGAUGGUGUGAUUGAGAGUGUUGCAUAUCAGAAGAUGUGAAUGGGAAUUCCAAAGACAGCCUGUAUUUUUCCAGCUCUCUCCAUAUAGACAUGGCGGCAAGCAAUGUACCCCUUAUAUUUUAGCGUACCUCUCUGUGAAUUUGUAACAACAGUGAUACCGAUAGUUGGGAUUAAGUUGCAUUGAGAAAAUAUAUUUUACUUUGUUUCACAGUGAUGUAAAAUCAAGAUUCCAAUAAAUAAAAAUGUGAUUGUGAA